rnacentral:rRNA from 1 species
GGGGAAUAUUGCGCAAUGGGGGAAACCCUGACGCAGCAAUACCGCGUGAGUGAAGAAGGUUUUCGGAUCGUAAAGCUCUGUUAUUGGGGAAGAAAAAAAGACGGUACCCAAGAAGAAAGUCCCGGCUAACUACGUGCCAGCAGCCGCGGUAAUACGUAGGGGACAAGCGUUGUCCGGAUUUACUGGGCGUAAAGGGCACGCAGGCGGUUUUUUAAGUCAGAUGUGAAAGGUACCGGCUCAACCGGUGACAUGCAUUUGAAACUGAAAGACUUGAGUAUUGGAGAGGCGAGUGGAAUUCCUAGUGUAGUGGUGAAAUGCAUAGAUAUAACACAGAACCCCGAUUGCGAAGGCAGCUUACCGGGCUACAUCUGACGCUGAGGCACGAAAGCGUGGGGAUCAAACA